UUUCGAAUCAUUCACAAUGGGCGAAAGCCUGAUGGUGCGACGCCGCGUGGGGGACGAAGGUCUUCGGAUUGUAAACCCCUGUCACUAGGGAAGAAACGCUUUAUUUUAACAGACUAAAGCCUGACUUAACCUGGAGAGGAAGCAGUGGCUAACUCUGUGCCAGCAGCCGCGGUAAUACAGAGACUGCAAGCGUUAUUCGGAUUCACUGGGCGUAAAGGGUGCGCAGGCGGCCGGGUGUGUCAGGUGUGAAAGCCCGAGGCUUAACCUCGGAAUUGCGCCUGAAACUACCCGGCUAGAGUACUGGAGAGGGUAACGGAAUUCACGGUGUAGCAGUGAAAUGCGUAGAUAUCGUGAGGAACACCAGAGGCGAAGGCGGUUACCUGGACAGUUACUGACGCUCAGGCACGAAAGCAUGGGGAGCAAAAGGGAUUAGAUACCCCCGUAGUCC
rnacentral:rRNA from 1 species